UUGACUGGUGCCUUCAAAGUCUUUAUGAUUUCAGCGUGAAAAUGUAUUUAGUGUAUGUGUGUAUAGUCGAACUGAAAUGAUGGCUGAUUCUAUGCAAGUGUGAAUGUGAUCGCAACAAGCACAGGAAAUGCAGAAAGACUGACGUAAAGUGAACACUUGCUGAUACAGCGAGAUAUACAGCAUUUUAUUUACCAUUUUGGCUUGUGAAAAAGGUAAAAGACCUCUAGAAAUGAAAAAUAAUGCCAUGUAAGAUCUUCUCAGAGGGUGCACAACAGCACUAAUUUCUGGAAAUUUACCCACUUUUUCAGCAUGAAAGUUUUUUUUUUGUUUUUUUCUGUUUACUCAGGAACUUCUGUUUGAAAGCAGUUUUUAAACCAGGGGCUUUAGCUUUAUGGUAUCGGCCUUACUGACUUGUUCAGCAUUUAUUAGGCCCAACAGGGGAUACCCCCAAACUAGGACUUAAGGUGGGCUUAAGUUCAUGAAAUAUAUACGAGUAUGUCAAUGAUCAUGCCUCUUAUUAGUGUGGUUUACAGAUAACGUGCACGAUAACUGUAAAAGUCUUCUCGUCCUAUUUAGCAUUGUAUUCCUCUGCUCGGCUCACAAAGAGAGACAGACAAAAGAUGUUUGCCACGAAAACAAAUAAUAAAGGCCUUAAAAAGCUUGGAGCAUGAUUCUAUACCUUUUUCCUCAUUCAGUGAAUCAUUCUUAUAUGUUUAUUUGGCCCCGCCCAUAUCUCCCAACAACUGCCUGCUCUAUUUACUCCAGCUUAGUUUAUGCUGAGGUAGGAUGCGAGUAAAAUUAGUGGAAUUCUACUUGAUAGAGUCAAAAACCACAAAAGAAGCUGCUGCUAUAAGUUUUCAUUGCUCUAUCUACAAUCUCUUAUCUAAUCAAAAUGUCUGCCUCACACUUCAGACGUCUGUCCCACAGUGGUGCAAGCCUGUCGCAACGCAUCUCGAACUGUCCAGUACAGAAGCACCCGAGCAGCCAUUGUGCCUUUACUGCACUUAAACUGUAAGAUGCAAACCAAUAUAUGCAAAAUGCACACAAACAACAAUAUUAUGACACUAAUUGAUUCUACGUCACAUAUUUAACUAUCCUCCAUUUGAAUAAGUAUUUACAUCUUUUACACAUUUUUGUGUAAAACUUGCAUCACUGUCCUCACUUUUUUGCUGUAACCUGUACGUUUUCAUACUUUUUGAUGCUAACCUGUUACAAAUAUUACUGCUGGUCCACUGUGGACUUUCAGUAAUUUCUAAUGAUGUCUCUUUUUUUAUUAUUAAAACGUAAAAUAAUCCCCCACCCCCUGCAUUUCUCUGGGUUUAUAUAACUAACUUAAGAUCCCACAUACUGUAUCAUAAUUGUAUGCUUUAAGUUGGGUUUGGUUUGCACUAUGUUUACACAUAAAUGCUUGCAUGUUUAUAUAUUUUAAAAGCUACUUAAUUUACUAUUGUUUUAAGGAUGGAGGUUUAUAAUAUAAAGACUUUAAAUGCAUCUUUGUCUCCAGAAGCAAAAUAAGAAGCCAAAAAAGGAGUGUGUUGAUGAGAGAAUGCAAUGAAGGAAAUUAGAUUAGCCCUAUUUCUUUCUUUCUUCUUUUUUUUUUUAUACAUCUCCAGUUGUUAUCUAGGAGAAUUUCUGUUGUACAUACUGCUAGCUUACAUCUAUAAUACUUAAAACACUGUUAUCCUGUCAUUGCGUCAGUGAAUGUAAUAUCAGUAUACAGCACUUUACUUGAUAAUUCUCCUGUUAUAAACAAUAAAACUGUAUGAGCUA